UACGGGGGGGGGCAAGCGUUGUUCGGAAUUACUGGGCGUAAAGGGCUCGUAGGCGGCCAACUAAGUCACACGUGAAAUCCCUCGGCUUAACCGAGGAACUGCCCUCCAAACUGCUUGGCUUGAGACCGGGAGAGGUGAGUGGAAUUCCCAGUGUAGCGGUGAAAUGCGUAGAUAUUGGGGAGGAACACCAGUGGCGAAGGCGGCUCACUGGACCGGUACUGACGCUGAGGCGGCGAAAAGCGUGGGGAGCAAACGGG
rnacentral:rRNA from 1 species